UCUCUCUCUCUCUCUCUCUCUCUCUCAUCUGGAGAUGAGCUGCGAACUAUCGAACUCGCGGAACGGGAUUGAAGUUGUUAAAUUUGUUCCAGGCACCACGGUUUUGCCGUGCUUCUACUUUUAGGAAGUGCUUAUUCGUAUAUGAUGGAUUUGUCGAGAUAAGCGAGUUAUUCAUGUGAUAUCUGUUUUAAAUGCCCCACCCUGUAUACACGAGGAUCUACAAGUGGAAAUCUUCAUUGCUUCGACGAUUAACGCAUCGUUCCCGAUUGAAAGAAGCCCCGCCGCACACUAUAAUCAACCCCCUGCCCCUCCCAAACACCCAAGGAAUCCAAUCACAGAGUCGGAGGGUCAACAUGCAGAUCGUGUAAUCCGGAGCGAAACACGCUCCCGGCAAAAAGUCGGCCCUCGAAUCGGCCCGACGCGGUAACAAAAGGUUCGAGGCAAGAGAAAAAGAGACGGCUACGGGUAGAAAACGGCGGUCGCGUGCCUGCCAGACCUCCGGAGAUCAAUCUUCGGAUUAGACGCGGGGGAGGACGAUGGCACCUGGAAGAGGAUCUUCGGGAAGUCGAGGAAACUUGACGAAUAGACUGCGGAUGCUACGGAUGUUAUGCAAAAUAAAUAUUUUCUACGACGAUGUCAAGUGGACUAAUUGAAACUGUAAAUUAAAGAAACCAUGAAAAUUUCAAAAGAA